rnacentral:rRNA from 1 species
CGAUUCUGGCUCAGGAUGAACGCUAGCUACAGGCUUAACACAUGCAAGUCGAGGGGCAGCAUGAAGGAAGCUUGCUUCCUUUGAUGGCGACCGGCGCACGGGUGAGUAACGCGUAUCCAACUUCCCCUUAGUAGGGCAUAGCCCGUAGAAAUGCGGAUUAAUACCCUAUGUUGUAUUUUUGAGGACAUCUGAGGAAUACGAAAGACUUGUCGCUAAGGGAUGGGGAUGCGUCCGAUUAGGUAGUAGGCGGGGUAACGGCCCACCUAGCCGUCGAUCGGUAGGGGUUCUGAGAGGAAGGUCCCCCACACUGGAACUGAGACACGGUCCAGACUCCUACGGGAGGCAGCAGUGAGGAAUAUUGGUCAAUGGGCGUAGGCCUGAACCAGCCCAAGUAGCGUGGAGGAUGACGGCCCUACGGGUUGUAAACUCCUUUUAUGCGGGGAUAAAGUGCGGGACGUGUCCCGUUUUGCAGGUACCGCAUGAAUAAGGACCGGCUAAUUCCGUGCCAGCCGCGGC